rnacentral:rRNA from 1 species
GAUUUUAGCAUGGAAUAAUGGAAUAGGACGUGUGGUUCUAUUUUGUUGGUUUCUAGGACCGCCGUAAUGAUUAAUAGGGAUAGUCGGGGGCAUCAGUAUUCAAUUGUCAGAGGUGAAAUUCUUGGACUUAUUGAAGACUAACUACUGCGAAAGCAUUUGCCAAGGAUGUUUUCAUUAAUCAGUGAACGAAAGUUAGGGGAUCGAAGACGAUCAGAUACCGUCGUAGUCUUAACCAUAAACUAUGCCGACUAGGGAUCGGGCGAUGUUAUCUUUUUGACUCGCUCGGCACCUUACGAGAAAUCAAAGUUUUUGGGUUCUGGGGGGAGUAUGGUCGCAAGGCUGAAACUUAAAGAAAUCGACGGAAGGGCACCACCAGGAGUGGAGCCUGCGGCUUAAUUUGACUCAACACGGGGAAACUCACCAGGUCCAGACACAAUAAGGAUUGACAGAUUGAGAGCUCUUUCUUGAUUUUGUGGGUGGUGGUGCAUGGCCGUUCUUAGUUGGUGGAGUGAUUUGUCUGCUUAAUUGCGAUAACGAACGAGACCUUAACCUGCUAAAUAGCCCGGCUAGCUUUGGCUGGUCGCUGGCUUCUUAGAGGGACUAUCGGCUCAAGCCGAUGGAAGUUUGAGGCAAUAACAGGUCUGUGAUGCCCUUAGAUGUUCUGGGCCGCACGCGCGCUACACUGACAGAGCCAACGAGUUCAUCACCUUGACCGAAAGGUCUGGGUAAUCUUGUUAAACUCUGUCGUGCUGGGGAUAGAGCAUUGCAAU